GACAAACAGGUCAAGUUAAAAGUAAAUAAUAGUAUAAAAGGGGGUUAAAAAUUAUUAAAAUGAAAAAUGAUGCUUUUUAUGGGGGUAGAAUUUGUGUAAAAAGAGGUAAUUUUAUUUUUUCUUAGUUUGAGGCCCCGAAAUUUUGUUGUGAAACCGGGAUUAGAUACCCCGUUAUUCAAAAUGUAAACGUUGAUUGUAAAAAUAAUUUACUUGAGUAUUACGUGUAAUAAAGGUUAUAGUUUUAUAUAUUACUUAAAACUCAAAAAACUUGGCGGUGCCUUAUAUCCUUCCAGGGGAACCUGUCCUAUAAUCGAUAGUCCACGUUUUAGCUUUCUUUUUUUUGAAAUCACAGCUUGUAUACCGUCGUCGUCGGGUUACCUUUAAGAGUUUUGAAGUUAUCGGAAAGAAUAGUAAAUGAAAUUAAUUUAUAUAAUAUUCUAGACGUCAGAUCAAGGUGCAGCCUAUGAAGAAGAAGAGAUGGGUUACAGUAGUUAAUUUAUUAUUACGGAUCUUUGUUGUAAUAAGCAAGGUUGAAGGAGGACUUGGAAGUAAUUUUUAAGAUAAGAGAGCUUGAAUGAAAGAAGGCUCUGAGGUGCGC
rnacentral:rRNA from 1 species